UCUGUUUGAGGUCUGGACUGAAACCCGGGUCAGAGAACGUUCUGCAGAACCCGCUUUGGGCUGAGUGGAAACCAGAACCAUCUCAGUCCAAGACAUGGAGAUAAACGUUCUGCUCUCACAGGAAGUAAACUCAGAGUUUUAAAAAUAGAACAAUAAUUGUCCCUGGAAGCAGGAUUUUCCCCUCACAGCUGAGAAUUAGAAAGAUUAAUUUGCUUAAAACUUUUUUCCAUAAUAAUCAGCGUUCACAUCGGGACAUGAGAGGCUGAGGUGUAGUCAGUAUCCUACCUACGAGGAGUCGGGUCAGGGUUAGGCUCCGGUUCCUCUCCCUGGUCCAACACGCCUGGAUCAAACAGUUACCAGCUCCACACACAUCCAGGUUCUAACGAGUCCUGGUUCUGACCCGACCCAAUUAGAACAGCAGCCAUUCAGGACUGGAGUCAGAAUUACGUGCCUCAGAUGUUUCUCUCGUUAAACACACCUGAUUAAACGAGCGGGUCUUUAACGGGUCCCUGUAACGCUUACUGACCAGGCAGGGAGCCGUUUGACUCAGGUGUGCUGAAGCAGGAACAGGUAGAAGCAGGAACAGGUAGAAGCAGGAACAGGUAGAAGCAGGAACAGGUAGGGGACCUCCUGAUGUGAUCAUGGUGCUGGUUUCAUCACCCAGUGAAACGUGUCUCUCAGAGUCAGGCUGUAAAAAUCAGGUUACUGCCAAGGACCAGGCAGUGAUGUCAGACGGGACACAGAGGGUUCUGUUUAAGAUGCAGAACCUUGUUUAGUCCUCACUGCUGAGCAAAAAACCACAAAGUCAUCAGCAUACAAGGAGAUUUGGCUUCUUUGAAAGAUGCCUAAUUGGCCCCGGUGUGCAUCAUGUACUAUGGGAUGCAUCUGCUGGAGAUUCUCUGGCAGAGACUGAGCUUUGUCCCAGACGGAGGGCAGGUAGCCAGAUUACUGGGGUAGCAUGAGGGAGCUCUGUCUCUUUAAAAUGUGGCUGAAUGAGUUGGAGCAGAGACCGAUUGAAAAGAGCUCUUCAGAACUGGACUCCACCGACUCUGCAGCCUCUGAUCAAACUUUGUGAAGUUUAGGGUUUUAUCGCCUUUAGACGGACCCGACUCUUUCCUGAUUGGUUCCCGCUCUGAGAAGCUGUCAGCUCUAGAAAUGACUCUGACUACUGCGGGGAAGAUACUGACUCCUCACCCUGCUCCACAGAACCACAAUCCAACAGAACAGAGCUUCCCUUUAUUGGUUUGAUGAGGCUGAUGUUCUUCAAAGCCUCCUGCUGCCAGUUACUGAUCCACCAUCCUGCAGCUAUGCUGGGGUUAAUUACUGGAGAAAAGACAUCUAAUGGAAACUUUAUUUGGACAUUUGAACAGAACUCAGUCAUAAUUUGAGUGAAUUUGGCUGUAAAAUCAGUCCUGGGAUCAGUUUCCCUUCCCUUCCAGGUCCGACGCUGCGUUAACAAGUCCUUUCCUCUAAAACCCGUCUUUAAAACAUGAAGCGUCAAACCUAAAUUAUCUGCAGAUAGUUCCUUUACCUGAGAGGACACAUAACAUCCCAGUUAGUCCGGUUAGGUUUGCUGUGUCGUUUGUUUCCUGGAAGACAUAAUUUUCUCUGAGGAAUAUAGCUUUAUGAUCUUGUUGCUGGUGAUGAAUAUUUAAAUGGCUUCGGACCAUCUGAUGAUCAGCAGUGUGUCUGCAGGGUGACGAGGGUUUAAUUAGGGGAGAAUCAUCUCAUUACGGCUAAACCAGCAGAAAACAUCAAGUUUCUGACGUUUAAUUCCAAACUGGAUGCAGCAGAAAUCGUUUGAAAAUGACGGCCCUGUUUCUGCUUUUACUCUCUGACUGGAACUCGACACAAACUAAUGAUUUACUCAUCUCUGCAUCCGUGUCAGCAGGAAUUACAGCAAUUAACUCAAAGAUGAUGUAAAUGUCUGUACAUACCAUGAAUAAAGAAUGAAACAUUUGUUUCUUUUCAACGACA